GGGCAGUUUCCCGAGUGGUCAAAGGGAGCAGACUGUAAAUCUGUUGGCUCAGCCUUCGUAGGUUCGAAUCCUUCACUGCCCA
rnacentral:tRNA from 1 species